rnacentral:sRNA from 1 species
GCGCCUUCUCCCUGCACCCUCAUCCUCAUUCUCCGUGGCGCCUCCCUCUCUAAAUUCUCGUCCUUGGAUCCAGUGGUGUUAAGCCUCUUCAGCCUUCCUUGGUGUGCAUGGUGCUAUUGCUUCUUCCUCCUCUCGGUUUUGUCUUCUCUCGCUGCUCCAGGGACGAGGCCCAAAAGCCUUAAUCGUACUUCGAAGUACGGUUAAGGCUUUGUUGGUGUUCGAACGCCGGUUGAGGGCUCAUUGUAGUUCGAAUGUCGGCGAACCCUUAACCAUCAAUCGAAUGUCGAUUAAGGGUGUUCCACAACACACUUUUUACUUGCCUCGAAUGUCGGCUUAAACCUUCUCCUCCGACGAACCAGAACAAGACAACGACCACCACCAACACACCGAGACCACUGCGAAAACACUAGGACCACCACAGGACCACAACUCAAACAAUGCAAGAACCACAAGCAGAAGGAGCUUAGUAACUCAAACAAGAAGGAAGAAGAAGAAGUGAGAGUCAAUGAAGAGGGUGCAGC